CGUUCAUGUUUUUAAAAAAAAAUAUUUAGCCUUAGUUCAUCCAGUUUAGGUUAAUGUGUAGUUUCUCCUUUGCCCUUUGUUUUGUACUGUUAAAACCAGCCUUUAAUAAACGGCUCAUUUUCUGUUAAGUUUAAGUUUUGUUGUCGCGUGUCUGCACUUGGGUCGUCCUCACUUCAGACCGUCAGCUUCCUCGACUGUGACAAUGAAAGGAUUUUUUUAAAUUAAAAACAGCACCAAACAUAGUAAACUUUCUAGUUACAAUGUUUUCUCAUUGCCAAGACUUCUUUCUUGCCAAUGUUUCUUCCAAAGUAAAUAAGAUAAAUGUUUCUUCUGCAUUUCAUCACUACUGGACGUAUACGAAAUUCCAUUUAGAAUCAUCGAUCAUCUUGAACCACCAUGUGGUGUGUACACUGUAGAAGGGGAAAGGACAGAUACAAACAGGCACAUUUGGAUGGAAACAUUUAAAUGAUUUAUUAUUGAUACAAAGCUCAAAAUCACAAGCAACAGACCAAACUGUAAAAGUUAUGAGGUCAUAAAAGAGACAAAAGUACGCACAUGCAGUCUUUGGUGACAGACUCUACUAUGAAAGCUAUCUAUAGAUACAAUGACCUAGAUCACUGGUAAGUGGACUUCAGCCUUAACCUGAAUGUGAUCAUUCCCCAUAUCUAUUUCCUUGGAAGGUAAAUGGGCCUCCCUGUGAAAAGCUUUCAGUCAACUUUGUGUCUGCUUUUCAACGUGUGUCAGCAUGUUGCUGAAGUUGUAGUCGUUGCAGUUGAUCAGUGUAAGUGGGAUUCACCAUAGUUUCAAUAGGAAAACGGCACCAUUUAUAUUUUACAUAAUGUCUGUGAAGUAGAAUAACAAAAAUAACCAUUGGUUGUGACCACUGGAUGUUUACAUACUUGAUAAUCAACUGAUAAUUUCAGUUGUGAUACUGUAUCAACAUCUGGGUUAGGUGGUUGGUCAAUGAAAAAAACGUCUCGAUUUUAGAUACCAGGCUUCUGCCUGUGAUUCCUUAUGUGUUAAAAUGAUUUUCUAAUAUAACCUUUGGGAAAGUGAUUAGAAAAAAUUUCAGUCCAAAUUCGACAAAUUCUGUGUACUUGAGGGUGCUGUAACUCAUAAUAUGGAAGUGAAAUUUUGCAUUGUGAAAAUAAAAAAAGUUUAGUGUGAGGGGUCAGCUUUGAACUCUGUUUCAGAUUAAAACUUUAUAUAAAGAUGAAAAUGUUGAAUUAGCGGUAUAAGCUAACAUGUUAAAUAAAUUCAAAUCCUGAAUGUGUCUAUGAAUAGGUGUCAACAAGCAAUGAGUUAACGAGCUUAGCCUGCACUAACCUGCCUGGUCUUUUACUGCAACCUGUGAGAAACAUACUUUUUCAAGCUCUAAAAUGAAUGAAGACAUUACAUGAAAGGUUUAAAUUUCACAUGCUGAGUAAUUCCUACUUAUUGAAAACAACCUCUACUCUCCUCUUUUUUUUUUUUUCACAUCUUUCUCCAUCUCUAAUAAUGUCACAGUGACAUCUGCACCAUGAUCACAGGGAUGAGAAGGAGAAGAGGACAGGAGUAACUGGCCUGUGGAUUUUUAUGUGUGCGAUAAUUUUCUAAUUAUUUUCUUGUUGUUGAGGAAUUAUCUCCAUGUCAUCACCCAAAGCAACACUAGGUUGCAGCACGUAAAAAAAAAAUCAACAGUAAUACGCAUUUAUCUGCCCGUCAGAUUUAAUUGCACAUUAACUGAAGGGGCUAGUUUUGUGCCAAAGGGAUUGGCAGCAUUUAAACUACUGUAAAUGGCUUUUCAAACAUACUUGUCAUGAAUGAAGUCAUCAGUCAAGAUAUUUUAAGUGACCAAGAAGAACUGAUUGACAUAAUGUAUCACGGUAAUGAGACAUAAUAAAAACAGCAACAUUUAAUCACUAUCCAAUCAGCAUUCCUAAAAAGAGUAAUACUUCAUGCUUGUUCAGUGAGAAAUAGAAAUGAGGCUUAAAUAAAUGUAAUAAUUUUCAGUAAGUGUAAUAAAGUCCAGCCACUCUGUGAUUUCAAAUUCACUCCCACAUACAAAGACCUGGAGAGGGGCACAUUCUCAGGUCAUAUUAGUUUCGGAGACUAAACUAAACUUAGCAUCAGAGAAUGGUUUAAAGGUUUUGGGGGAUUUUGUGGGAAAUCACUUGACUGUUCGAUCCCUGGAUGUGUGAAGCUCUUGUAGAAAGUCUUUGUUGCUUUUGCAGCUUUGCUAGUAAAGGUUCAGAUGUGCGUUCCGACUGAGUCCGUCAAGUUCUUGUAUUUCUCUGCGUCUUUACUCUCGUACAGGUGAUUCAAACUGUAUUCCUUAAACUGAGCAACCAGCCUACCUACUACUCUUUUUAUUGUGAAGCAGGCCGGUCUGGGAUACUGGUGCCAUACUAGUGGGUUAAUACAUAACCUGCAGACAAAGGUCAGAAAAAGAUUCCAUAAAAUGCUGCUCUAGUUUUUUCUCUUAUGAUAAUAUUCCUCUUAUAUCUGAAGAUUUCCCAAUCUUCUCACUUUUUAAAUUACUGACAUCAUAUGAGCCAUAUCAGUUAAACAUUCGACUUAAUCCUAUUUAACUUAACAGGACUUAACUUAAUGUUUUUAUGCAAUAGAUACAAGCACCUGCAUAGAUUAUGACUAGUCUGAUGGUUAGAUGAAAUAAAAGAGGGCAUGUGCUUGAAUUCUUAGUUUUAUGAUCUGCUUUAUAUCCCUAAAGUUGCAGCUGAAAGAGGUAAUGUUUCUCACUUGUUACUUUUACUUUGCGGACAGUAACCUCUUUAUAUCAGCUAAUUAAGCUAAUUAAGACUACAAAGCUAUGGAGAACAUCACAAGUCUUAUCAAUGAUUGGUCCUAUGGACGAGACACAUCAUCCAACAAUACUGUGGGUGUUGUGAGAAAUCCUGACUUGGGUGCAGGAAUUCUUCUGGGUUACACCCUCCUCGGAGUUGCCACCUAUACCUGGGCCUUCUGGUAUCAACGUGACGGACUUGUUCUUCUUAAAAGAAGCUGGUGGAUGCCCUACUCAUGCCACCAAUUCAACUCCAGAGGUGUUCACAACAUCCACGGACCUCUUAUCUCUGUGAUUUCCAUGGAUAUUAUAAAUGUAAUCACAGCAAUAAUCUUGGGAGGUCAGAUGGCUGCUUCUGCCUGCAACUUGAAAUACUGUGUCUACACUGUUCUUAUAUGUUUUAUAUCACGAUGGUUUGGAGUGAUUUUCCAUCUCCUAACUGCCUAUUUUUCGAUUGUUUACCUCUGCAACCCACAACAGGAAACUAAAAUACGCUGUACCUUUGCAAUUAUUUACUUAAUCAUGUGUACUCUGAUCCCAUUUUAUACGUUCUUCAUCCAGUGGGCAGCAUACAUGAUGGCAAUUUUUACUUUAGGAUUGGUUCUGGGUAUUGCUGCAAAAUUUAGAGUGCCACCUGAAUUACCUUCUGCUGCCACAGAGAAGGACCUGAUUGGGAUUCUUGCAAUGUGCACUUUCUUAGUUGUUUUCUUACCCAGUUUUAUUCUUGAAUGCUUAAUUUAUAGCACUGACAACAGGAAGGUGACAGACGAGUACGAUGCAAUUUAUGUGAAUGUUUUGUUUUUCACUAACUGUCACCUGAUUAUGAAUGGACUUCUGUGUUGCUUAAUCCUGAAGUUGUCUGCUGCUGAAGAAGAGCGACAACAGCAGUGGGAGCUACAACUACAACAACAACCUUAGCAGGAGCAGGAGCAGCGACAUUAGGAUUUUGAAGGUCAAUGGUUUGCUGUUUUUGCAAAUGUAAUCAGUAAUAGGCUCGCAGCUCUUAACUCAUGUAUCUUUGCUAUUCAGGCUUUAACUAUCUGUGUCUGUGGACAUCAUUGUUUUCCUUCUUUAAACUUAUUUGACAUUAUUUGUUAAAUAGGAGGCAAGGGCUUAAGCAAAGGUUGAUUUGUGUCAGUAUUUUGUAGAUGGCUGUACUUCCUGUCUUAUUCAUCUUAACAUGAAUGUAAUAAAGGAAUGAUCAUCACCAUUGUAA